AUUGAACGCUGGCGGCAGGCCUAACACAUGCUAGUCGAACGAGUGGCGGACGGGUGAGUCAUGUCUGGGAAACUGCCUGAUGGAGGGGGAUAACUACUGGAAACGGUAGCUAAUAACGCAUACCAUCGGAUGUGCCCAGAUGGGAAUAGCUAGUAGGUGGGGUAAAGGCUCACCUAGUCUACGAUCCGUAGCUGGGCUGAGAGGAUGACCAGCCACACUGGAACUGAGACACGGUCCAGACUCCUACGUGAGGAAGCAGUGGUGAAUAUUGCACAAUGGGCGCAAGCCUGAUGCAGCCAUGCCGCGUGUAUGAAGAAGGCCUUCGGGUUGUAAAGUACUUUCAGCGGGGAGGCGUUACCCGCAGAAGAAGCACCGGCUAACACCGUGCCAGCAGCCGCGGUAAUAC
rnacentral:rRNA from 1 species